rnacentral:rRNA from 1 species
CCUACGGGAGGCAGCAGUGAGGAAUAUUGGUCAAUGGGCGCGAGCCUGAACCAGCCAAGUCGCGUGAAGGAUGACUGCCCUACGGGUUGUAAACUUCUUUUAUAAGGGAAUAAAGUGAGGCACGUGUGCCUUUUUGUAUGUACUUUAUGAAUAAGGAUCGGCUAACUCCGUGCCAGCAGCCGCGGUAAUACGGAGGAUCCGAGCGUUAUCCGGAUUUAUUGGGUUUAAAGGGUGCGUAGAUGGGUUGUUAAGUCAGUUGUGAAAGGUUGCGGCUCAACCGUAGAAUUGCAUUUGAUACUGGCAGUCUUGAGUACAGUUGAGGUAGGCGGAAUUCGUGGUGUAGCGGUGAAAUGCUUAGAUAUCACGAAGAACUCCGAUUGCGAAGGCAGCUUACUAAACUGCCACUGACAUUGAUGCACGAAAGUGUGGGUAUCAAACAGGAUUAGAUACCCUUGUAGUC